rnacentral:rRNA from 1 species
UACGGAGGGUGCAAGCGUUAAUCGGAAUUACUGGGCGUAAAGCGUGCGCAGGCGGUUUGUUAAGUCUGUUGUGAAAUCCCCGAGCUCAACUUGGGAAUUGCAAUGGAUACUGGCAGGCUGGAGUAUGGUAGAGGAAGGUGGAAUUGCCGGUGUAGCAGUGAAAUGCGUAGAGAUCGGGAGGAACAUCAGUGGCGAAGGCGGCCAUCUGGGACAACACUGACGCUGAAGCACGAAAGCGUGGGGAGCAAACAGG